UUAUCGUCGGUAGUAGAAGCUCACUGUAGGGCUGGUGGAUAACUCCUGAGGACAUGUUCAAGCUCCUGUUACAAUUCCUAGUUCCAUGGUUAUAACGCAAGUUGCAAAUGGGAGAAAAGAUGUGUCAAGAUAUCAGAUCUAUUGUGGACAAAAAUAAAGUUCCUGCAAGUUUUCACAUUCAUUGGAACGACAAUGAGAUCAUCAAGCGUUUCUCCUGCACUUUCUAAACAACAAUUCAAUACUGGCAACCUCGAAGAAUAAACUGAACAUUUUGAGCAUCUACUGUCUAACAGUUGCUUUACAAUUCAAGAACCGCUGGGCAAUAAAAAAAAAGCAUCUCAGAUAGCUAUGGAGAUACCACCUCAUAAAAGAACAUACCUGGACGUUGUGCAUCACGAACACCAGACACAAUGAUCAGACCCUCCAUCUUUGAGACAAAUGAGAACAACUUCACAGGUUGCAGACACAUCUUCUGACACCACUGCUGUUACCACCAUUUAAUUCCAGAAGAUCAGUGCCACAACUAUUUUAAUUAGAGGCAGACAUUAAAUAUUUGUGGGUUUUUUUCCCCCCUUCUCAGCCUUUUUUUUAACCUUAGUAUCAAGUUAUUAAUGGCUAAAAUAUUAAUGCUCUCCAAUUACAAGCUGGUUAAGUUUCAGUUUGAUGCCUGGUUAGGUGCUGUGGGUUCUUAACCUGAAAUACAGAUACAAAAUGUAAUUGAGUCGCAUUAUUAAUUACUGAAGUAAUAUUGUUUAGCAUAAUUCAUAUUACAAAUUACUUUCUCAAAAGAAGUUACACAGCAUGAAGUCAAAUAUAUUGUAGAAGUCACAACAUUGUCUUGCUGGAUGAGCAACACAACCCUUAACAACACAUGUGGUUUUGAAGAACAAACUAAAAUCCCCGGUGGGAUUGGUAUAUUUCCCACAAACCCAAGCAAACGGAUCUUGUACAAUGCUUCCUUCAAAACAUUCUCCCAUAACCUCCUGUCAGUGGACAUUGCAUCAUGCUUCUUUCAUUAAUCAGGCAGUGGAGUCCCGUGUUGUCUUGUUCUGCUUACAACUGAUAGCUGUAAGCUGUCAGUCCGUAAUUCUCUCCGUUGUCCCAAUCAAAAUGUGAAUGUGAAUCCCAAAUCAAACUCAGAUGGACACAAAGAUACUAACUACUAUGAGCACCAAUAAAAGAUCAUCAUUUCACUGGAUACUGAGUCUGUUUAAGUGCGCUUUAGAAGGCCAACCAAUUACUGAAAGUUCCUCAAAAUGCCAAGGGAAACAGAAACACUAGAAUUCAAGGAACCUGUUUGGUUUAGAGAUGACCAAGUAUUUCAGUGUUGAACUUGGCAGUCUAGAUGGAAGAGGUAAAAGGUACAAUGAGAAGAUUUCUAUCAAGACAUAUUUAAAAAUAAGGUAAUAACUGUGUAAACAGCAUUUGAUCUUUUAAACAAGAACAGAGCUACCAAUGGAGUUUGCAGGCCAUGUGUAGUACGGGAGACUACAAGAAAGAAGAAAAAAGUCCUUGCUGGGAUAAAUUCAAUUUACUGAUCAAUACAAAUUUUUCAACUUUAAGCAUUCCUAAAAGCACAGAAUUACUGUUUCCCCAGGAUCCAUUCUGUCCUACUGUUAAGUUUCCAUUGCUAUGUUUAUUAUAGCCCCAUUCUAAGAUUUGCAAUUAAGAUGUUAAAGUAAGCUGUUACAAUAAUGAGGUAUAGUGAGUUCCAGCAGAAAAUACACAGGCAAUUAUCAAGGCAAAGACUAUGCAGCUU